CGCUGAUUAGCUACGUUCGGAUGGGAUAACCGCUGAAAGCAUCUAAGCGGGAAGCUCGCUUCGAGAUGAGAUUUCCAUACACCUUGUGUGUGAGAGGCCCCCAGCCAGACCACUGGGUUGAUAGGCCGGAUGUGGAAGCGAGGACUAACGACUCGUGAAGCUGACCGGUACUAAUAGGCCGAUAACUUACAC
rnacentral:rRNA from 1 species